AACUCCAGACACUGGCCAUUGUGUGCUAAUUUUUGUAAGAAGCGUUAGAUUACAUUUCUAAACAACUUGUGGCGAUUGUGGACUUAAAGGUACAUUUCUCUGUCCAGUACUCAAUUGUUGCUGUAUCAUGUUCGGUAACAUCAGGCCAUAGCUGCCGCAGGCGUUGACGGCGGAGGUGUCACCAUCUCUACCAAAAGUCAAAUACUUUCAACGCAACAAAACCAACAGCAACAACACCAAAUCAAUGAUGCAAGUAGAAACUUCGACAUUCAGUAUAGCCGACCGCUAACGCCCUUCUCCCAGCAGCUGAGUGAUCAUGCUGAAACGAUUCAACAGCAGUAACAGCAAGUGAAGAGUAGUCAAGCAAUUCAGGAGAGUUUAUUAACUUACGAGUUUACAGGAAUAUUUUAAAUUAUAUGAUUUUUUUAAGACUUCCAACAUGCUCGGACUAUUCAUCAGCUACCAAGAAAUAUAAUGCAAGCCGCUCAAAAAAAAAACACUGUUGCAGUGGCAACAAAAUCAUCAUCUUCUGGUCUAAAUCCAGACUUAAAGUGCCAAAUGUCUCACUAUCUCGCUGCCACAAAAGCGCUACAAGGAUACUUAUCUGGCUAAGCCAGCUACUACUUUUGCCGCUGAAGCUGACACAGACGAUAUAGAAGAGGUAGCUGAACCGAAUGCCGGUUUAGAAGCAACUUUUUGGGACAUUAAAAAACCUCCUAAAUGAUGGGAGUCAGAAAAAAUUAACAAGCCUUCUUAAAAAAUAAAUUAUAAAUAAAUUAAAUAAAAAAUAAUCUCUUA